UGUGUGUGGGUGGGUACGGGGAUAACGCGGCGCUCCAAAAGAAACGUCAGAUAAGCAUCACAGCUGACGCACGAGCUAGUUUGCGCGAACGUGGGGAUGGCGCAACACGGACAUCUUGCGGGAAUCCUCGCAACUCAUAUAGGUGAUGGGUGAGUCUCUGUGCACGCUGCGUCCACACUCGAGGUGCACGCGCACUUCUAGGAAAGCCUCGCAAGCGUGUUAAAUGACAGCGUACAUACGGCAAAAGAAAAAAAAAGGAGCGUCCUCACUGCGCGGUAGAUGAUGUGCGCCAUGUGUUUACAUGAGAGGACUUGG
rnacentral:misc_RNA from 1 species